rnacentral:misc_RNA from 1 species
CCUCCUUAAAAAAUAAUCGCUUAGGAUAGGCGUUCACACGAAUAACUUGCUUUUACCUAAAUCAUUUCUUUACAGAUUUGAGAUUAAGGAGCGUUCUUUAACAUUUUUAUAAGUUCAAUCAAGUCACAUCAUAGUGUCUUAGUUUUUUAAUUUAGAUAUGAAUGAUGUGCAAAUGUCACCAAACCCGUCAUGUUUUAGAACAUAAGUUUGGUGUACAUACUGCAAAGUAAUUUUGGCGAAUGACAAUAGAUACUUGAAGAACAUUAAUCAUUAAGUUGUUUGAUGUAAUAUGGUCAAGUAAUUAAGCGCAUACGGUGGAUGCCUUGGCAGCUAGAGGCGAUGAAGGACGUAGUAACUUGCGAUAAGCUUCGGGGAGCCGGUAAACAGGCUUUGAUCCGAAGAUUUCCGAAUGGGGAAACCCAAGGGCGA